rnacentral:rRNA from 1 species
UACAGAGGUGGCAAGCGUUGUUCGGAAUUACUGGGCGUAAAGGGCGCGUAGGCGGUUCGUUAAGUCCUGUGUGAAAUCCCCCGGCUCAACUGGGGAACUGCACAGGAAACUAGCGGGCUUGAGUUCGGGAGAGGUGAGUGGAACUGCGAGUGUAGAGGUGAAAUUCGUAGAUAUUCGCAAGAACACCAGUGGCGAAGGCGGCUCACUGGCCCGGUACUGACGCUGAGGUGCGAAAGCGUGGGGAGCAAACAGG